rnacentral:tRNA from 1 species
AGGGAUAUAGUUAAUCAUAACAUUUGGAUUGCAACCAAAAAGUAUUGAACCAUUCAUUUAUCCUUA